GUGGGUAGUUUGACUGGGGCGGUCUCCUCCUAAAGAGUAACGGAGGAGCACGAAGGUUGGCUAAUCCUGGUCGGACAUCAGGAGGUUAGUGCAAUGGCAUAAGCCAGCUUGACUGCGAGCGUGACGGCGCGAGCAGGUGCGAAAGCAGGUCAUAGUGAUCCGGUGGUUCUGAAUGGAAGGGCCAUCGCUCAACGGAUAAAAGGUACUCCGGGGAUAACAGGCUGAUACCGCCCAAGAGUUCAUAUCGACGGCGGUGUUUGGCACCUCGAUGUCGGCUCAUCACAUCCUGGGGCUGAAGUAGGUCCCAAGGGUAUGGCUGUUCGCCAUUUAAAGUGGUACGCGAGCUGGGUUUAGAACGUCGUGAGACAGUUCGGUCCCUAUCUGCCGUGGGCGCUGGAGAACUGAGGGGGGCUGCUCCUAGUACGAGAGGACCGGAGUGGACGCAUCACUGGUGUUCGGGUUGUCAUGCCAAUGGCACUGCCCGGUAGCUAAAUGCGGAAGAGAUAAGUGCUGAAAGCAUCUAAGCACGAAACUUGCCCCGAGAUGAGUUCUCCCUGACUCCUUGAGAGUCCUGAAGGAACGUUGAAGACGACGACGUUGAUAGGCCGGGUGUGUAAGCGCAGCGAUGCGUUGAGCUAACCGGUACUAAUGAACCGUGAGGCUUAACCUUACAACGCCGAAGCUGUU
rnacentral:rRNA from 1 species